UACGGAGGGGGCAAGCGUUGUUCGGAAUUACUGGGCGUAAAGAGUGUGUAGGCGGUGCUCUAAGUCUGUUGUGAAAUCUCCCGGCUUAACCGGGAGGGUGCGGCGGAAACUGGAGUGCUUGAGGGUGGGAGAGGUAAGCGGAAUUCCUGGUGUAGCGGUGAAAUGCGUAGAUAUCAGGAGGAACACCUGUGGUGUAGACAGCUUACUGGGCCACUUCUGACGCUGAGACACGAAAGCGUGGGUAGCAAACAGG
rnacentral:rRNA from 1 species